rnacentral:tRNA from 1 species
CCGUUUAGGAGUAGUCCCGCUUAGCGGGAUAAGGCAACGGGUUCUGGUCCCGUCAUUCGUAGGUUCGAUCCCUACCUCCCGAG